CUAAUACAUUACAACUUUCAGCGGUGGAUGUCUAGGUUCCCACAACGAUGAAGAACGCAGCGAAAUGCGAUACGUAAUGCGAAUUGCAAGACCUCGUGAAUCAUCAAGAUUUUGAACGCACAUUGCGCUUUCGGGUAUUCCCGGUAGCAUGCUUGUCUGAGUGUCUGUGG
rnacentral:rRNA from 1 species